rnacentral:rRNA from 1 species
GACGAACCGAGCGAACGUUAUUCGGAAUCACUGGGCUUAAAGGGCGCGUAGGCGGGUCCGCCAGUCAAGGGUGAAAGCCCCCGGCUCAACCGGGGAAGUGCCUCUGAUACUGCGGGCCUCGAGGGAGGUAGGGGCGUGCGGAACUUCCGGUGGAGCGGUGAAAUGCGUAGAUAUCGGAAGGAACACCGGUGGCGAAAGCGGCGCGCUGGACCUCUUCUGACGCUGAGGCGCGAAAGCCAGGGGAGCGAACGGG